UAACACAUAAUCCAGAUGGCUCCUUACGUGUUAAAAAUUGUCACCCCAAUUUCACUCCAAUUUGGAAAAAUAUUGGAGUGACGUUUGAAUAAUCUGAAAUUUUUAGAUUCCUUUUCUAACUUUUUUGGGAGGUUUUGCUUCUCUUGCACAGAUGUCGCUUGCACUUCAGUUGCGUGGUUGCCAAACGUUAUAUCGAAAUAUAUUUCAUUUCAUUAUGAAUAUAUAAAAUUAAAAAUUAUGUAAUUUAUAAACAUGAAAUAGAUAUGGAUGUUAGGUAAUACCGGAUGUUAAAUUAAUAUAUAAAUAUUUAACUUAAUACGUACAUUAUUAUUUUAUUAAUUUAUCGUCACACGUCAUUUACCAGUUGCCUAAUUACGAAAAGUUUCAUAUGAUAUUAACCUCAAAAAUGAUCUUUGAAAACAAACAACAACAAAUAACUCAAAGAAAUAACUACAUACUACAUAAUAAUAACUGAUAAUAAUGACUUUUAAUGGUAUAAAGGCUGAUGAAGUUUUAGACAACCAAUACAAGAUUCAGAACUCGGCAUCGCGAUAAACAAGUAAAAUUGUACAUUCAGGAACUCGUUUAAAUAUUAUAGGUUGAUUGAAGAAUAAUUUACAAUUGAUUAGAGCCUAUGACGAUGCGAAGAUAAUUAAUCACCUAACUUUAAGAAACCAGCCUAAAGAAGUUUACAUGCAUCUCAUCUAACCAUUAUAGAUCAGUAGUGAUUUUUCAUAAUUUGAAUGAACUCACAGAUAGCAAUGGGGCACCGCACCGAAGCAGUAUUACAAAAUGUGAAAUAAAACUGUA